CGGAUACUAAUUAAUAAUUAGUACACAAUUAGGUAUCAAAGCAGCAGGUGAGAUUCAAAAAUGUAAUCUUUCAAUGUACUAAACUCUUUCUGUUCCCAAAAAAAAAGAUUUUCUAGAAUAUUCACAUAUAUUAAGGAAAUAAUUAACUUUUUACAAUUGAAUUUAUUAUUUAUUUUACUAUACAUUUUCCAAUAAAUAUCAACUAAUAGUAUUCAACCAAUUCAAAUAUUUUCAAUUAAUGUUUCUUAAAAAUAUAUAACUUUUCAACAUUAACUACUAAAAGUACCUUAAAAUUUUAGAAAAUAUAUCAUUUUGGAACAAAAAAUAAAUUUAAAAAAUCCUACUUUAAAAAACAGAGGAAGUAUAUAUUUAUAUUCUCAAAGAUAAGAUAUUGUCCGUGUUUCAAAAAAAAAAAAAAAGAUAUUGUCCACCUUCUACUUUUGGAAAGCAAAUCGGCCCAUCUAGUUAUUCUAAUCACCAUUCCUAGGGACGUCUGUAAAGGGAAACCCUCCAAAUAUCAAGUAGAAAUUGUAUUUAUAUCAUUUACUAUAUAUAGAUGGACAACAUUUUUUUAUUAUUGGACCAUUUCAUGUUUAUAAUAUAUAGAGUAUAGGGGAUGUAAAUAUUUUUCUUACGUUAAACAUGAUAGGCCAGGGACAGAUUGGAUAUCCGGACAAUUUUAAGGUAUCCGGCGGAUCUAUAAUUUUACUAUCUUUAUCCAGAUUCGGGGUUCUCGCAU
rnacentral:lncRNA from 1 species